CGGAAGUGGGCCUGGGAGGCUAGAUGGGCCCAUGGGGCACUGGAUGAGGGGCAGACGGGCCAGCUGAGAAUGGGCCGCCCGAGGCUUUGCUGAUCCCUGGAUUAGCGACUUCUGUGUGAGGCCCAGCCCAACUCUGCCGGACUCGGGCUCCUUGUUCGUCUUGCAGCCUGGAAGCCAGCGACUCCAUGGGACCCUGGGCAGGGCAGGCCCGCAGGCAGGGAGAAGGGCAAAGAUGAAGAGUGGCAGGGCUCAGGCUACCUGCCUGGGACCCGAGCAGGGAUCGCUGGAGUCCCCCACGCCUGGAGUCCAAAGACUGUUCCCAAUUAGCCUAGGGAGUUUGCAGUCUCUCUCCUUGCAUGGGGCAGGAAGGAAGGGAGCCAGCCAUGGUUCUGCUGCUUGGGAGCGUGGUGCAGAGCUCACAAUGAGACAUUGCAGUGCUCCUGGAAAGGCCUCCACGCCCUCCACCACCCUCAGCCUUCCCCCUUCUCUGGCACGUCCCAUCUGGCUCCCAAGGAGCUUCCCAGGCAGGAGUGAAUCAGUCUUCACUGCUUCCCAGAGAAGCUACAACAACUGCAAAGCUCGGUUAGCUAAGUCCAGCUUGGAGCACCGCCACCAUCCCGUCAACUCUGCUCAUCGGCCUCAAAGCCAUGACCACUAUGUAGGCUUCCCAAAGGUUUGUUCCCCUGGUAGAAUUUAGUCUGUUUCCACUGGCUGAGCAGCAAGGUGAUGCUGCCUAAGAUAGGAGACGGACCGUUUGUGCCACUGUGGGUGCAGCACAGGAGGCUGCAGGACAGAUGGACGGACAGACGGUUUGUGUUUCUGCUUAACAAC
rnacentral:lncRNA from 1 species